rnacentral:rRNA from 1 species
UUAAGAAAGAAAGAGCAUACGGUGGAUGCCUAGGCACUAAGAGCCGAAGAAGGACGUGGUAAGCUGCGAAAAGUUAUGGUUAGCUGCAAACGAGCAUAGAUCCAUAAAUAUCCGAAUGGGGAAACCUGGCCAUUUAGGUGGUCACAGAGAAAUCUGAGGGAACGUAGGGAACUGAAACAUCUAAGUACCUAUAGGAAGAGAAAGCAAAAGCGAUUUUCUAAGUAGCGGCGAGCGAACGGGAAAGAGUCCAAACCGACGAAAGUCGGGGUAAGGUUAAUCGACGUGAGACAAUAGAUAGAGACGAAUAGUUUGGGAAAACUAACCGAAGAAGGUGAAAGUCCAGUAGUUAAUGUUGACGAUAUCUAGAUUAUACCAGAGUACUACGAGGCACGAGGAAUCUUGUAGGAAAGAGGGAGGCCCAUCUCCUAAGACUAAAUACUACUUAGUGACCGAUAGAGAAUAGUACCGUGAGGGAAAGGUGAAAAGAACCCCGGGAGGGGAGUGAAAUAGAAACUGAAACCGUAUGUUUACAAGCAGUGGAAGAGCAAUCGACCACGUACUUUUUGUAGAACGGGCCAACGAGUUACGUUAUGUAGCGAGGUUAAGGUGUUAAGCACUGGAGCCGAAGGGAAACCGAGUUUUAAUAGAGCGAGAGUUAUAUGACGUAGACCCGAAACCAAGUGACCUAUCCAUGGGCAGGAUGAAGCGAAGGUAAAACUUCGUGGAAGACCGCACCCGUAUCUGUUAAAAAAGGUAGGGAUGACCUGUGGAUAGCGGAGAAAUUCCAAUCGAACUUGGAGAUAGCUGGUUCUCCCCGAAAUAGCUUUAGGGCUAGCCUUAAGUGGAAGAGUAAUUGAGGUAGAGCACUGACUACCUGCGGGGGCUUCACCGCCUACCAAGGGUUAUCAAACUACGAAUGCGAAAGACUUAAACUUAGGAGUCAGACUAUGUAUGAUAAGAUGCAUGGUCGAGAGGGAAAGAGCCCAGAACUCCUGCUAAGGUCCCGAAAUGUAAAUUAAGUGGAAAAGGAUGUAAAAAUGCAUAGACAACUAGGAUGUUGGCUUAGAAGCAGCCAUACAUUUAAAGAGUGCGUAAUAGCUCACUAGUCGAGUGGAUUUGCGCCGAAGAUAUCCGGGGCUAAAAUUUACUACCGAAGCAGAGUCAUAGAAAUAUGGGUAGGGGAGCAUUGUAAUGAGGACGAAGUAAAAUCGUAAGGUUUUAUGGACGAGUUAGAAGAGAGAAUGUUGGCAUAAGUAACGAGAGUGAGGUGAGAAUCCUCACGGCCGAAACCCUAAGGUUUCCUGAGGAAGGUUCGUCCACUCAGGGUAAGUCAGGACCUAAGCCUAAGCCGAAAGGUGAUGGUGAUGGACAACAGGUAAAAAUUCCUGUACUGAUACUAAUUGAUUGAAAGAAGCGAUGACGCAGAAGGAGAAGCUAAGCACACGGACGGAAGAGUGUGUCCAAGCAGCGAGAUAGUUUAGAAGUUAAAGGGUCUAGAUAAAGUUGAGCUGUGAAGGGGAGUGAAAAAUAAGUAACGAAGUAGCAAAAAUCACGCUGACAAGAAAAGUUGCUAUUUAGAUUAGUAUCACCUGUACCGAGAACCGACACAGGUGGGGAAGUAGAGAAUACUAAGGCAAGCGAGGAAACUAUCGUUAAGGAACUCGGCAAAAUGAUCCCGUAACUUAGGGAGAAGGGAUACCAAUCGUAAGAUUGGUCGCAGAGAGCAGAUCCAAGCAACUGUUUACCAAAAACACAGGUCUAUGCGAAAUCGAGAGAUGAAGUAUAUGGGCUGACGCCUGCCCGGUGCUGGAAGGUUAAGAGGAAGUGUUAGCGCAAGCAAAGCAGAGAAUCGAAGCCCCAGUAAACGGCGGCCGUAACUAUAACGGUCCUAAGGUAGCGAAAUUCCUUGUCGGGUAAGUUCCGACCCGCACGAAAGGCGCAAUGAUUUGGAUACUGUCUCAACGAUGGACUCGGUGAAAUUGUAGUACCGGUAAAGAUGCCGGUUACCCGCAGCAGGACGGAAAGACCCCGUGGAGCUU